rnacentral:rRNA from 1 species
CUACGGGCUGCUGCAGUGGGGAAUAUUGCACAAUGGGCGGAAGCCUGAUGCAGCAACGCCGCGUGAGCGAUGAAGGCCUUCGGGUCGUAAAGCUCUGUCCUCAAGGAAGAUAAUGACGGUACUUGAGGAGGAAGCCCCGGCUAACUACGUGCCAGCAGCCGCGGUAAUACGUAGGGGGCUAGCGCUAUCCGGAAUUACUGGGCGUAAAGGGUGCGUAGGUGGUUUUUCAAGUCAGGAGUGAAAGGCUACGGCUCAACCGUAGUAAGCUCUUGAAACUGUAAAACUUGAGUGCAGGAGAGGAGAGUGGAAUUCCUAGUGUAGCGGUGAAAUGCGUAGAUAUUAGGAGGAACACCAGUUGCGAAGGCGGCUCUCUGGACUGUAACUGACACUGAGGCACGAAAGCGUGGGGAGCAAACAGGAUUAGAUACCCCGGUAGUC